CAUUCGCCGGUUGUGUUCCGCCCUCCUCGCAGCCGACCCUCCGGGGCUAGCGCCUGAGAUCCCUUUCCCAGAGUGCUCUGCGCCGUGAAGAAGCGACUCCCGGAGACUAGGGGCAUUUUGCGUUGGCUGGAGCUGGAGUAACAAGAUGGCGGCGUCGGCGGAGUGAUAGGGGUCCCUCUGGGCGGGAGCCGGCGGCAGUGGUACCAAGGGUAUCACCGCCCUAAGUCACUGCGCCCCUUUUCCAGCUCGCAACGUCGCCGCGAAAGCGUGGCACCGGCGGCGGCCCAGAAACAAGUGGCCCAGCCUGGGAACCGCGAGACCUCCUCACAAACUGCGUCCUGACCAAAAAAAGAAAAUCCGACCGAGCGGCGGUGAUCAGACUCCCCUUGGCGGAUUCUGGGGCCCUGUGACGCCAAAAGCCAACAUUUUCCGUUUCCCCCCGCCCUCCUCCGCAGCCUUGCUCAGGGGACGAGCGCAGAGGCCUCUGUCCUCUUCUAAGAGGUGUCGGGGCUUGGCCCCAGCCUCUGUCUUCGUCUCUCAGGAUGGCGAGCAGCAGCGGCUCCAAGGCCGAAUUCAUUGUCGGAGGAAAAUAUAAACUGGUACGGAAGAUCGGGUCUGGCUCCUUCGGGGACAUCUAUCUGGCGAUCAACAUCACCAAUGGCGAGGAAGUGGCAGUGAAGCUAGAGUCCCAGAAGGCCAGGCAUCCCCAGCUGCUGUACGAGAGCAAACUCUAUAAGAUCCUUCAGGGUGGGGUCGGCAUCCCCCACAUACGGUGGUAUGGCCAGGAAAAAGACUACAAUGUUCUAGUCAUGGAUCUUCUUGGACCCAGCCUCGAAGACCUCUUCAAUUUCUGUUCCAGAAGGUUCACAAUGAAAACAGUACUUAUGUUAGCUGACCAGAUGAUCAGUAGAAUUGAAUAUGUGCAUACAAAGAAUUUUAUACACAGAGACAUUAAACCAGAUAACUUCCUAAUGGGUAUUGGGCGUCACUGUAAUAAGUGUUUAGAAUCUCCAGUGGGGAAGAGGAAAAGAAGCAUGACUGUUAGUACUUCUCAGGACCCAUCUUUCUCAGGAUUAAACCAGUUAUUCCUUAUUGAUUUUGGUUUGGCCAAAAAGUACAGAGACAACAGGACAAGGCAACAUAUACCAUACAGAGAAGAUAAAAAUCUCACCGGCACUGCCCGGUAUGCUAGCAUCAAUGCACAUCUUGGUAUUGAACAGAGUCGCCGAGAUGACAUGGAAUCAUUAGGAUAUGUUUUGAUGUAUUUUAAUAGAACCAGCCUGCCAUGGCAAGGACUAAAGGCUGCAACAAAGAAACAAAAAUAUGAAAAGAUUAGUGAAAAGAAGAUGUCCACUCCUGUUGAAGUUUUAUGUAAGGGGUUUCCUGCAGAAUUUGCCAUGUACUUAAACUAUUGUCGGGGGCUGCGCUUUGAGGAAGCCCCGGAUUACAUGUAUCUGAGGCAGCUAUUCCGCAUUCUUUUCAGGACCCUGAACCACCAGUAUGACUACACGUUUGACUGGACAAUGUUAAAGCAGAAAGCAGCGCAACAGGCAGCCUCUUCGAGUGGGCAGGGUCAGCAGGCCCAAACCCCCACAGGCAAGCAAACUGACAAAACCAAGAGUAACAUGAAAGGAACGUGGCUGGUCCCUUAGCAACGUAACUCAAAUCACAGGGGAAGACCUUGAAAUAUCUGGAGCGACUGAUCUGCUCUGAAUACACUCAGUGUCAGAGAAGCACCAGGGAGCUGCAUCUGCUUGCUGAAAUUUUUGUCAGCUUUUUUUCACUAUGGACAAUAAAGCUGGAGAGAAGAACUAAAUUACCCAACAGGAAAUGAAGAUGAGUGUGCAAGAGUUGAUCUGUGGUGAUCUGAAGCCCACAUCUUCAAGGCUUGCUUGACCUGUCAGACUUGGCACCUUGUCAGAUUUCCUGGAUGGUACAGCAGUCCAGAAGACCCAGAAGAGUACAGUGUGGCUGUGGCUCAGUGGUGUAUAAUGCAGACCGUCUACUGGUUGGGGAAGGAAUCAGUUGUUACAGGAACAAAGGAAUCCACUUCUUAUUUUAGCUGUUGUUGCAGUGAAGAUGGGUUUUUGGACUUGUAGAAGCCGGGAGACACCACCUAAAGUACAAGAUAAAAACCAAGCUCUAAUGCACACCGGGGAAAAGAACACUUAAUUUGAAGAUUGAAUGUCAGAAACCUCCUGGAUGCUCCUAUUGAGAUUUUUUUUUUUUCUCAAGAAACCUCAGUAACAUCCUAGGACAAUUCCCUGGAGAUACAUCGAUUUCCUAGGCGGAGUGUCCUGCCUACCACUGGCUAAUCUGAUCUGGAUUUGACUGCUGUUCUACCCGGAAUAUUGUUAGGCUAACCUUUAACUAGUCUGUAAACAAUUGUAAUCAUUAGUUGACCUAGGAAUUCUUUAAAUCUGAUUAAAAGAUGCACAGAUAAAAUUCUUACCUAGAUAAUUUUUAUCCCUGUUAAAGACACACAAGAGUUUCUUAAUAUUUUGACUCCAGUGUAAUUUGUAUUUCCUUUUUAGUUUAUUAGUGAUGAUGGUUUCCAUUUAAAGCUCUUUGGAUAUUCAACAUAGUAAUUAUUCUAUAUAAUUGUGUAAGCUGUGAUAAUAGAAAAAAACCAACAAAUUUAGUAGUAGUUGGGAAAACUUUUUAUUUGUAUUUAAGAAUAAUUGCAGUACUUGAAAACAAGUGCUUAUCAGGGUAAAGUUCAUUUCUAUUUAGCUAAAGUUGGAAUUAGAUUACAGAAUAUAGUCAGAUUUUUAAAAAUCAGGUGUGAUUUAAAAGUUCUUUUUAUGGCUUCCCUUGCUAGUACUAUUUAGUAAUGCAUAUCAAUACAUAUCAAUACGAUAAUAUUCCUUGUGGUGAAGUACAUUUUCAGAAAGUUUCCUUCUUUUAUUUUUGGCUUUUUGCUUUAUCACCUAUGGCAACAUAGGUAUAUUCUGUACCUAAUCUUAAAUUUGGUAUUAUCUUUGGAAAAAGGGCAUAUGAUAUAGACAGGAACAUAAAUUAUAGAAGCAUUUUAUUUAUCCCACAAAGCUCAUUGGAGAUGGUCCACAAACGUUUGAGAAGUACCAAAAAAGAGGUAGUUUAUUAUUGAGAAAAACAUGGUUUGUUCUAAGCAAGUGAGAGAUCAGAGUGGGCUAGAAUAAACUAUUAAUAGAGGGGCUAUAAGAGUUCAGAAGGGGGUGGGCCAAGGGGCAUCAAUGCCUUGAAGGAGAGGAGAGGGCAUUGAUGGUUUUUAUGUUACUCCUGAGACAGGUCUGUGUCCUCUCUCUUUAGCCAUAGGGUAAAUUCACCUGAAUUCUUUAUUCAGCCGAGCCCUAACAUGAAGCCCUACCAGGGCUGUCCAUCCUGUGGCCCUUGAGCUGCAUGCACCCAAGAUGGCUAUUAAUACGGCCCAACACAAAAUUGUAAAUUCACCUAAAACAUUACGAGAUUUUUUGUGUGGUUAUGUGUCAUGCUGUAUUUAAUGUGUGGCUCCAGACAACUCUUCUUCCAGUGUGGGCCAGAGAUGCCAAAAGGAUGGACACCCCUGCUAGAGUCUUAAUUAUGGCUGAGGAGAGAGUGUUUGCAGGGUGGGAGGGCUUGAGAAGUAAAUAAAGCUAAAAAAAAUAACUCUUUACAUUUUCCAAUCCAUGGAAAUGGAAACCUAACCUUUUUAACGUAAGCUGGUGGAAGUAAAGAAUUUUUGAAGUCAUGAGGUCUUCUGUGUAAAAAGUCAUAAUUUUGUGUUCGGUGGAAUAACUCAGAUAAUUAAUGCCUUGAAUACACUUACUAGAAUUUAUUGUUCCUUUAUUUGUAUCAGAAAUAGUGUGCAAAAAAGUCCCAGACUCAGAGUAUGAUUGAACUAAACCUCCCACUUGCUGGAGCAAUCUGUUGUUCAUCAGUUUGACAGAUAGUCGAACACAGUAUGUUCUAGGCACUGAAGAUACCGAAGUAAACAAAACAGGCAUGUGAUCACCACUGCUGGUCUAGCUUGGGCAUCGUAUGCUGACUGGAGUUCACUGUAUACCCUUCCUACCUAGACGUCUCCAGAACAGAAAGUGUCUUGUUUUUCUGUUUUAAAAAAUUGAGCUAGUGAUUUUCAAAUAGAUGAAAAUCGCCUGAGUCACACACAAUUAUUAGCCUACUUUACCCAAAAUUUUUUUUUGGGGGGGUGUCAUUUUAAACUUUUUUUAAGUUGGCAUUUUAACCAUUUUUUCCUGUUUUCU